rnacentral:lncRNA from 13 species
AAUAACAAAAUGACUAAAAUUGUGAUGGCUUAUAUUGGAUUCCUUCUCCUUGCCAUUCAGUUUUCAUCACACCGUGCGAGCGCGAUAUGAAACGGUGACGCCUCCCAUCAAAUACUGAAUCCUUACUAUAAAGUUACUUCAAGAUGCAUAGGCUAAUGUAACUUGAGAGCGACGGUAUCUUUCUGCUGCGCAAUUCAAAUGCAGGGUAUUGGCAGUUAUCAUUCCCACAAGGUGAUGGCACUUAUGACAUGUCUCAAGUUUUGUAAGGCGCAUGGCAACAUGUUCUCCGAACAUAAUGCACAUGUUUUUGCCGCUUGGAAUUAGUCGGAAGGUCCACGCUCAAAACGCUACCACACAGUCCACUGCCAUGACUGCUCCGAUCAAAGCUGGCGACGUGAGUUCUAACAUGACCAAGAUGCCCGAUGUCACUACCAAGAACAUCACCAUUCCCAAAGGAGCCAGUGCGUCCUUGCAGUCCAGCCCCGUCACGCUCCUCAUCCACAUUGCGGUGGUGGGUUCGCUCAUACAGGGCCGUUUCUAGAGUACUCAUGUGUACUGAACACACAGCCAGGAUUAACAUAGGCGGCCUAGCUGUGCAAACUGUUUCACAAACCAAUUU